AUGAACCCAUCGGAGAUGCAAAGAAAAGCACCUCCGCGGAGACGGAGACACCGCAAUCGAGCACCGUUGACUCACAAGAUGAACAAAAUGGUGACGUCAGAAGAACAGAUGAAGUUGCCAUCCACCAAGAAAGCAGAGCCGCCGACUUGGGCACAACUAAAGAAGCUGACGCAGUUAGCUACAAAAUAUCUAGAGAACACAAAGGUGACACAAACCCCAGAGAGUAUGCUGCUUGCAGCCUUGAUGAUUGUAUCAAUGGUGUCUGCAGGUGUACCCAACAGCUCCGAAGAGACAGCGACCAUCGAGAACGGGCCAUGAUGACGAUGGCGGUUUUGUCGAAAAGAAAAGGGGGAAAUGUGGGGAAAAGCAAGAGAGAUCAGAUUGUUACUGUGUCUGUGUAGAAAGAAGUAGACAUAGGAGACUCCAUUUUGUUAUGUACUAAGAAAAAUUCUUCUGC
ensembl:lncRNA ERVK-28 endogenous retrovirus group K member 28